rnacentral:rRNA from 1 species
AAAGCCGUCAAGAAAAGCUGCUAUUGUUUCAUUAUGGCCCGUACCGUAAACCGACACAGGUGGAUGGGGAGAGAAUCCUAAGGCCGGCGGAAGAAGUAUUGUUAAGGAACUCGGCAAAAUGACCCCGUAACUUCGGGAGAAGGGGUGCCUGCGAGAGCAGGCCGCAGAGAAGAGGCCCAAGCAACUGUUUAGCAAAAACACAGGUCUAUGCAAAACCGAAAGGUGAGGUAUAUGGGCUGACGCCUGCCCGGUGCUGGAAGGUUAAGGGGAGUGGUCAGGAAACGAAGCCACGAACUUAAGCCCCAGUAAACGGCGGCCGUAACAAUAACGGUCCUAAGGUAGCGAAAUUCCUUGUCGGGUAAGUUCCGACCCGCACGAAAGGCGUAAUGAUUUGGGCGCUGUCUCGACAAUACAUCCGGUGAAAUUGAAGUGCCAGUGAAGAUGCUGGCUACCUGCGCCAGGACGGAAAGACCCCAUGGAGCUUUACUCCAGCUUGAUACUGGGACCCGGUAUUGCAUGUACAGGAUAGGUGGGAGGCUAGGAAAUGUGGACGCCAGUCUGCAUGGAGCCGCUGUUGGGAUACCACCCUUGUGGUGCUGGGUUUCUAACCAGAGGCCGUGAACCGGUCUGGGGACAAUGUCAGGUGGGGAGUUUGACUGGGGCGGUCGCCUCCGAAAGGGUAUCGGAGGCGCCCAAAGGUUCCCUCAGAAUGGUUGGAAACCAUUCGAAGAGUGCAAAGGCAGAAGGGAGCUUGACUGCGACACCGACGGGUGGAGCAGGUACGAAAGUAGGGCUUAGUGAUCCGGUGGAAUUUAAGUGGGAAUGCCAUCGUUCAACGGAUAAAAGCUACCCUGGGAUAACAGGCUGAUCACUCCCAAGAGUUCACAUCGACGGAGUGGUUUGGCACCUCGAUGUCGGCUCAUCGCAUCCUGGGGCUGAAGUCGGUCCCAAGGGUUGGGCUGUUCGCCCAUUAAAGCGGUACGCGAGCUGGGUUCAGAACGUCGUGAGACAGUUCGGUCCCUAUCCGGCGUGGGCGUAGGAUAUCUGAGAGGAGCUGUCCUUAGUACGAGAGGACCGGGAUGGACUGACCUCUGGUGUACCGGUUGGCGAUCAACGCCACGGCCGGGUAGCCAUGUCGGGACGGGAUAAACGCUGAAGGCAUCUAAGCGUGAAGCCCCCCUCAAGAUGAGAUAUCCCAUCGUAAGAGUAAGACCCCUUGAAGACGACGAGGUUGAUAGGGCAGGGGUGGAAGUGCCGUAAGGCAUGGAGCUGACUGCUACUAAUCGGUCGAGGGCUUGACC